AUUGAACGCUGGCGGCAGGCCUAACACAUGCAAGUCGAACGGUAACAGGAAGCAGCUUGCUGCUUUGCUGACGAGUGGCGGACGGGUGAGUAAUGUCUGGGAAACUGCCCGAUGGAGGGGGAUAACUACUGGAAACGGUAGCUAAUACCGCAUAACGUCGCAAGACCAAAGAGGGGGACCUUAGGGCCUCUUGCCAUCGGAUGUGCCCAGAUGGGAUUAGCUAGUAGGUGGGGUAACGGCUCACCUAGGCGACGAUCCCUAGCUGGUCUGAGAGGAUGACCAGCCACACUGGAACUGAGACACGGUCCAGACUCCUACGGGAGGCAGCAGUGGGGAAUAUUGCACAAUGGGAGCAAGCCUGAUGCAGCCAUGCCGCGUGUAUGAAGAAGGCCUUCGGUUUGUAAAGUACUUUCAGCGGGGAGGAAGGGAGUAAAGUUAAUACCUUUGCUCAUUGACGUUACCCGCAGAAGAAGCACCGGCUAACUCCGUG
rnacentral:rRNA from 1 species